rnacentral:rRNA from 1 species
UACGUAGGGUGCAAGCGUUAAUCGGAAUUACUGGGCGUAAAGCGUGCGCAGGCGGCUUUGCAAGACAGAUGUGAAAUCCCCGGGCUUAACCUGGGAACUGCAUUUGUGACUGCAUGGCUGGAGUGCGGCAGAGGGGGAUGGAAUUCCGCGUGUAGCAGUGAAAUGCGUAGAGAUGCGGAGGAACACCGAUGGCGAAGGCAACCCCCUGGGCUGACACUGACGCUCAGGCACGAAAGCGUGGGGAGCAAACAGG